rnacentral:rRNA from 1 species
AUGACCCCGACGGCGCGGCACCUCGUCGACGAGAUCCUAGAGGAGAUCUUCCUCCGCCUGCCCACCCCGGCCGCGCUCGCCCGCGCCUCAACCGCCAGCCCCCGUUUCCGCCGCAUCAUCACCGAGCGCGCCUUCCUCCGCCGUUUCCUCGCCCUCCAUCCGCCGCCACUCCUGGGGUUCGCAGCUGGCGUAGGUGGCUUCUACCCGGCCCAGGAUCCCCACCCCUCCGCCCCGCUCGCGCGCGCCAUCGUCGACGCUGCGGAUUUCACCUACUCCUUCGUCCCCAAGGCCAAAAGCUGGUUCGGCCACUGGCAUCCCUGCGACGCCCGCGACGGCCGCCUCCUCCUGGAGGCCAGCUACCGGUUCGAUCUCGAGACGAUCCCGAGCCACGCGGUGUGCGAUCCCCUGUCACGGAGAUACGUGGUGCUUCCAGCCAUACCCGAGGAAACGACCAUCCCGCAGGAGCGUCUCUUUGAGUUCCGCUCUAUCCUCGCCCCAAUAGCCGAGGACGAGGACGAGACGUCGUUCAAGGUGAUCUUCAUGGCGAACUACAAAAGCAAGCUGCUUACCUAUGUAUUCUCUUCUGUUACUCUGCAAUGGUGUGUAGCUGCAUCCAUCAGCUGGGGUUCUUUGGGCACAGCUGAUCCCUAUUUGGCCAGGCCCCUUUGCAACAACCUACACAGCUUCUUCUACUGGGACGCGGAUUGGCGCGGGAAGCUGUUUGUGCUAGACACGUGCAGGAGGGAGUUUUACAUUGCCAACUUUGCCGCGGGUAACCAUCGGCAGCUUCUAAAUAAGCGUGGACACGGUAUGAUCAGGUCUUCCAUUGCUGUGGGUACAGACAGAGCCCUUGAGAUGUUUUCUCUCAUUGGUGAUUACGGUUCAGAUGCCUUGUAUGGUCUCUAUCAUACCACUCAGCAGAAUGACGGUGAAUCUUUCAACGAAUGGCAGCUAAAAAAUGUUGCAGCAUUGCCUCGCGGAUGUCUCUAUGAUACUGUGGGUGCAACCGAGGGAUUCAUGGUCCUUCGAGGCUAUCAGGAGCCUCAUCAUGGUUUGCCUGGGAAUCGGGAUGUAGAAGAUUUAUUUUCACUGGAUCUCAAGACUUCUGAACUUACAAAGGUCUGCAGAGUAGCACCACAGGAUCCUACCAGGCGUGUUUGCUCGUACUUUGGCUUCCCACCAUCAUUAUCGAAACCAAGUCUAUGA